rnacentral:rRNA from 1 species
GAUGAACGCUGGCGGCGUGCCUAAUACAUGCAAGUCGAGCGAACGGACGAGAAGCUUGCUUCUCUGAUGUUAGCGGCGGACGGGUGAGUAACACGUGGAUAACCUACCUAUAAGACUGGGAUAACUUCGUGAAACCGGAGCUAAUACCGGAUAAUAUUUUGAACCUCAUGGUUCAAAAGUGAAAGACGGUCUUGCUGUCACUUAUAGAUGGAUCCGCGCUGCAUUAGCUAGUUGGUAAGGUAACGGCUUACCAAGGCAACGAUGCAUAGCCGACCUGAGAGGGUGAUCGGCAACACUGGAACUGAGACACGGUCCAGACUCCUACGGGAGGCAGCAGUAGGGAAUCUUCCGCAAUGGGCGAAAGCCUGACGGAGCAACGCCGCGUGAGUGAUGAAGGUCUUCGGAUCGUAAAACUCUGUUAUUAGGGAAGAACAUAUGUGUAAGUAACUGUGCACAUCUUGACGGUACCUAAUCAGAAAGCCACGGCUAACUACGUG